rnacentral:rRNA from 1 species
UACGGGGGGAGCAAGCGUUGUUCGGAUUUACUGGGCGUAAAGGGCGCGUAGGCGGUCGUGACAAGUCACUUGUGAAAUCUCCGGGCUUAACUCGGAACGGUCAAGUGAUACUGUCGGACUAGAGUACAGAAGGGGCAACUGGAAUUCUCGGUGUAGCGGUGAAAUGCGUAGAUAUCGAGAGGAACACCUGCGGCGAAGGCGGGUAGCUGGGCCGACACUGACGCUGAGGCGCGAAAGCCAGGGGAGCAAACGGG